AUGACCAUAGGUUAAUGGUAGACUAUUCGCGUACCAUGUGAAAUGUGUCGAUUCGAAUUCGACUGGUCAUA
rfam:Tncinocarpus reesii 1704 cont2.583 mitochondrial, whole genome shotgun sequence.